GUUGCCAACUAAUUUUCGAGUUGAGCAACGCGCAAGAUGCCAACGCGUUGAUAUUGAAGUUGAGAGUAAUUUACACCAGUUGAUAUCCACAUUCGUUGACAUUCACGUUGCUUAGCAUUUUUCGUUGACGUCGAACUUGUGAAUGUAUCGAAACUGAUUUUAAUCGAUAUUGUGUUGUUUUAAUAAUUGAGAAAAGUAAAAAAGUGAACAAUGGCAACAGCGAAGAAGAGCAAAAUAGCGGCAGCAGUGAUUUUGGUUUUAGCUCUUGAGGACGAGGAAGAGCAAGAGCUAAA